AGUCUCGUAGCUCAGCUGGUUAGAGCACUACACUGAUAAUGUAGGCCGGCGGUUCAAGUCCGCCUGAGACUA
rnacentral:tRNA from 1 species